UACGUAGGGGGCAAGCGUUGUCCGGAUUUAUUGGGCGUAAAGAGCGUGUAGGCGGCUUUACAGGUCCGUUGUGAAAACUCGAGGCUCAACCUCGAGACGCCGGUGGAAACCGUAAAGCUAGAGUCCGGAAGAGGAGAGUGGAAUUCCUGGUGUAGCGGUGAAAUGCGCAGAUAUCAGGAGGAACACCCGUGGCGAAAGCGGCCACCUGGACUGCACCUGACGCUGACACGCGAAAGCUAGGGGAGCGAACGGG
rnacentral:rRNA from 1 species